AUUGAACGCUGGCGGCAGGCUUAACACAUGCAAGUCGAGCGGAGAUGAGGUGCUUGCACCUUAUCUUAGCGGCGGACGGGUGAGUAAUGCUUAGGAAUCUGCCUGUUAGUGGGGGACAACAUUCCGAAAGGAAUGCUAAUACCGCAUACGUCCUACGGGAGCUAGCAGGGGAUCAUCGGAUCUUGCGCUAAUAGGUGCUCGUAAGUCGGUUUAGCUAGUUGGUGGGGUGAAGGCCUACCAAGGCGACGAUCUGUAGCGGGUGUGAGAGGAUGGUCCGACACACUGGGACUGAGACACGGCCCAGACUCAUACGGGAGGCAGCAGUGGGGAAUCUUGCGCAAUGGACGAAAGUCUGACGCAGCGACGCCGCGUGGGUGAAGAAGGCCUUCGGGUUGUAAAGCCCUGUCGAGUGGGAAAAAUGGUAUCUGGAAUAAUACGCCAGGUAAUUGAUGGUACCACUAGAGGAAGCACCGGCUAACUCCGUGCCAGCCGCCGCUGUAAGAC
rnacentral:rRNA from 1 species